GGUGGCUGGGGACACACAUCUAGGCCUCUUGGGUGGCCCUCACUUUUCCCUUCCUGCUCAAGUAGACAAGACAAUUGAGAGGGAAGCGAGCAGUUGCCUUUCCUUAACACUUCACCCACCCUGGAAAGCUGCUUGGGGAAGCUGCUUUGAUGGUCCAGAUUCCCAGAUCAUUUCUGAGGGGACCUGUGUGAGUGAAGCGUUGAUCACCUUUACGACUUCGCUGCUGCAGAGGGGGAAGGGGUUAUUGACUCGGGGUGGCACUGGCUCCAACGCCCUCUGUAACUCCUGUGCUCUGCUGUUUUUUGUGCUUGCUUCACGGAGAUCCGGCUUAAAUGUAAGACCUUUCCAACUACCUAACUCUUCUUCUGGGGUGGAGGAGGUUGGUGGGGGGUGGGGCGGCGCUUGGGCUACGGAGGGGCUUCUUAUCCUGUGAGGAGGAGAAGAGACUGAACCUCCCAGUUUCGGGUGCUUUCUUUCUAGACGGCUGAUUAGAUCUUGAAUUCUUCCUUUUCUCUUUGUACCACCCCUGCUCCGUUCUUGUGCAUGCUGACUGCCUUUCGAAUAACAAAGUCUGCGUCAUCUCCAUUCCUCAUGGGACCUCAGCAACUCCAGGACCCCAGUGACCCUAACACCCCAACAGAGGGGUUCAGUGGAGUAACAGGAAGCUGCCUCCUUCCCUGGUUGUGUCCCUUUCUUUGUCUGAUCCGUUCAAGAGUGUCUAAGUGACAAGAAGUUGUACGUAACCAUCUCAUGAAUCUUACAUUUUCCUUCUCUAUUUUUUCCAUUUGCAGGGCAACCAGGACCAAAGGGACAGAAAGGAGAACCUGGAGACAUCAAGGAUAUUGUAGGACCCAAAGGACCUCCUGGGCCUCAGGGACCUGCAGGUGAACAAGGACCCAGAGGUGAUCGUGGUGACAAAGGCGAAAAAGUGAGUAGAGAAACAACGCUGUCUGACCCAUGUGGACUGCCAAGGCUCUCUAAGCCCCCUC